rnacentral:rRNA from 1 species
AUUGAACGCUGGCGGCAAGCCUAACACAUGCAAGUCGAACGAGUGGCGGACGGGUGAGUAAUGUCUGGGAAACUGCCUGAUGGAGGGGGAUAACUACUGGAAACGGUAGCUAAUACCGCAUACCAUCGGAUGUGCCCAGAUGGGAUUAGCUAGUAGGGUGGGUAAAGGCUCACCUAGGCGACGAUCCCUAGCUGGUCUGAAAGGAUGACCAGCCACACUGGAACUGAGACACGAUACAAACUCCCACGGGGGGCAGCGGUGGGGAAUAUUGCACACUGUGCGCAAGACUGAGGCAGCCAUGCGGCGUGUAUGAAGAAGGCCUUCGGGUUGUAAAGUACUUUCAGCGGGGAGGCGUUACCCGCAGAAGAAGCACCGGCUAACUCCGUGCCAGCAGCCGCGGUAAUAC